AUACGGAGGAUGCGAGCGUUAUCCGGAUUUAUUGGGUUUAAAGGGUGCGUAGGCUGUGCGUUAAGUCAGGGGUGAAAUGCCGUCGCUCAACGACGGAGCUGCCCUUGAUACUGGCGUGCUGGAGUACGGAUGCCGUUGGAGGAAUGAGUGGUGUAGCGGUGAAAUGCUUAGAUAUCACUCAGAACACCGAUUGCGAAGGCAUCGGACGAAUCCGUCACUGACGCUGAGGCACGAAAGCGGGGGGAUAGAACAGGAUUAGAUACCCUGGUAUUCCACGCCGUAAACGAUGAUGACUAACCGUCGGCGAUAGACAGCCGGUGGCCAAGCGAAAGCGAUAAGUCAUCCACCUGGGGAGUACGUCGGCAACGAUGAAACUCAAAUGAAUUGGCGGGG
rnacentral:rRNA from 1 species